ACUCACCAAGGACUAGUUAGACCUUAGAAACAAUCGAACACUAUAGCACACUAAGAAAACACUGAUGAAAGAAUGCAAGAUCCUUUCUAUUGUAAGAACAAUGUGGCUAUGUACACAUGUGCUUGAGUAGCUUGUUGGUUCACAAGUUCACAGGUUCAUGAGUUGGUCUUAUAAAGGAACGGGCACCCGUAUAUAUACUUAAGCCCUCAUAGCCUAUGUGGUCCUUAAAAAGCCUAAA
rnacentral:lncRNA from 1 species